UUAACUCUCAGCUGUGCACUGGGAAGUUAGGAGUCUGAGAAAGAAAGCUGGAAAGGGUAGGAGUGAUCUCUGCUGCCUUCUCCCAACAGGAAAGAUACCCUCUUGGCGGCACAUGCAGGAUGCCAUUAUGAGAAAGUGUUUAAAGCUACAGCACAGGAGGACCCAAUGCUGCACGUUACUACUUUGCUGGAGAGAUGAGUGUGACACACCUCCUCGCCAACACACCUGGUACAGACUCGUGGAGAAAGGCUGUAAUAUACUCUAGCUAUCCCAUGGAUGAGCUCAGCAACACAGUGAAGAUCAAGCUAAUGUCCUUCUAUCAACUUUCCCAAUACAUGAAAAUGGAAAUGGAAAACUGUACAGCAUCAGCAUCAGCAUCAGCAUCAACCAACCUGGUCCCCAUGAGGCCUAUUGACUGCUUCGUUCAUGGUUAUCUAAUCACUACUUACCAGCUUUGGCUCUUGCUUUGGUGGCACAUAGACAUUGGCUAAACCUUUAUGGAGAUCCCCCACCUGCUAAGUCAUAGCACCAUGUAAGUGCCAGCUCUGGGCACAUGUAGAAGCAAAUGAGAAAUGAUAACCACUUGAAAGAGCUUUGCUGUGAAAGGUGAAUGAAGCACCCACACCGUAUAAUCUGUGCAUUGGUUAAAUGAAAGAAUUCUGUCUCUGUUGUAGAGUUUAUCUGGCUUUGUGUGUGGCUUUUUUUAGAUACAUUAGGGAACAAUAUAGAAGGACCAUCCAUAUUAAAUAUCUAAAACUAUUCAGGGGAAGGAAGAGAGAGAGAAUUUUUACAACGCUAUAUUUGUGCACUUCCUUUGUGGGAAGCUUCCAGUCAAUGUCUUUGAAGCCUGCCCUUAUGAUACAUGA